UACGGAGGGUGCAAGCGUUAUCCGGAUUCACUGGGUUUAAAGGGUGCGUAGGAGGGCAGGUAAGUCAGUGGUGAAAUCCCCGAGCUUAACUUGGGAACUGCCGUUGAUACUAUCUGUCUUGAAUAUUGUGGAGGUAAGCGGAAUAUGUCAUGUAGCGGUGAAAUGCUUAGAUAUGAUAUAGAACACCAAUUGCGAAGGCAGCUUGCUACACAACUAUUGACUCUGAUGCACGAAAGCGUGGGGAUCAAACAGG
rnacentral:rRNA from 1 species